rnacentral:rRNA from 1 species
AUUGAACGCUGGCGGCAUGCCUUACACAUGCAAGUCGAACGGCAGCACGGGUGCUUGCACCUGGUGGCGAGUGGCGAACGGGUGAGUAAUACAUCGGAACAUGUCCUGUAGUGGGGGAUAGCCCGGCGAAAGCCGGAUUAAUACCGCAUACGAUCUACGGAUGAAAGCGGGGGACCUUCGGGCCUCGCGCUAUAGGGUUGGCCGAUGGCUGAUUAGCUAGUUGGUGGGGUAAAGGCCUACCAAGGCGACGAUCAGUAGCUGGUCUGAGAGGACGACCAGCCACACUGGGCCUGAGACACGGCCCAGACUCCUACGGGAGGCAGCAGUGGGGAAUUUUGGACAAUGGGCGAAAGCCUGAUCCAGCAAUGCCGCGUGUGUGAAGAAGGCCUUCGGGUUGUAAAGCACUUUUGUCCGGAAAGAAAUCCUUGGCCCUAAGACGGUCGGGGGAUGACGGUACCGGAAGAAUAAGCACCGGCUAACUACGU